rnacentral:lncRNA from 1 species
CCCCGCCCCGGGCCGGCCCCUGCCCCGCGCGGCCCCUAGCCGCUCACCCCGCGCCUCGCGCCGCGCUCGCCUUCCCCAUCGCCCGCGCCUCGGCCUCCCCCUCUCCGGGCCCCUCUUCUUCCCACCUCGCCCCCCUUCCCUCUCCGGUCCUCUUUGUCCCCGCUGCCUCGGAGCGCUCCUCGCUCCCCUCCUUUCCUCGGCCGCUUCGGCCAGCCCCGCCGCCGCCAGCCCCGUGCGCCGGGUGGCCCUCCCGCCCCCUUUGGGACCGCCGCUUCUCUCGGCCCCCAGCUUCUGCCACCGCAUCCGCACGCGGUCCGUUCCCUUCUCACUCCUCUUUCCAUCGGUCGCCUCUCCUCGCCCCUAUUCCUUCCUCGUGGGUACCGGGGUCCCGGUCCCUCUACCCUACUUUGCCUUCCUCCACAAAUGUCCCCUGCUUGGAGGCACCUAACCCAGCAGCUAGCCGGGAGCCGGGACCCCUUGUACACCUGUGAUAUUUUCCAGAAGGGGCGUUGGGGCCUGACCUUUCGCAGCAGAAACGUGUGUUUGGAGACUGCGUGAGAGAGUGGUGUGUAUUCAGGAAAGGAACAACUGUUCGCAUUGUCCCUGGGUUGACUCCAAUCCCCCCUCCCGAAGAAGCUUUGGUCUCCUCUCCCGAGCCUCCAUUUAACGUUGACAACCCAGCGGCGCUCCCUAAUGGCCCAGCGGGUUGCACAAAUUGGCAGUGAGCUGAGAUAUUAUCAGGACAACACCCCAUUGAGCAGGUUCUUGAAACGCAGAAGUGGAAGCCCUUUCUCUGGGCCACUGGGCGCCUGUGGCCUUUCCACCAAUCAGAGCUGGAGGUUGCAGUGGCCACCUGUUGUCUCGCAAGAGAACAUCUUUUAAGUUUCACUAUUAGUAUUUAACAAUGGUGUGUAGUGCAGCAUCUGGACACGGGAGAGGAGCAGCCUGCUGAUCUGAGGCACCAAAAAAGAAAUUAUUUUUUUCCAGAUAGUUGUUAAAAGGAGCCCAAAAGGCUGGGAGGCAGAGUUUUACUUGCACGCUCACAUCCCUCACCUGCUCUUUCUGUCGUGCAUCUGGAGCAAUCUGAGCUUGAUUACAGAGGAUGAAGAAAAGUAUAAUCAAAGUUACAGAGAGACUAAACCUGAAGUUGCAAUCAGCCCUCGAGGAUCUGGAAUACAAAUAUUCGCAGUGGAAACCCCACUAGCUGCGGGAAGGGGAACUGCAUGUGGGCCGAAGUGUUGCAUUGAACUUUGGGCUAUGGAGCCUGGAAAUGAGGGAGAACCUUCUCCAAGGAGGCUCCCGGGGGUUAGGAAUGCUGGGUCAUAUCCGAUACAACCUCUUGGCCAUUGUUUUGGAAAAACCUUUCUCUUCAAGCCCUGCGGCCUGUUACAGUGCAAAUACCUUUGAGAGGGAAACAAUAUUCAUCAGUGAAUAUCUGAUGAUGAUGAUUUAGGAGGUAAGGUUAGCAAAGGUUCUGAGUGUGGAUCUUUAUUAAGGAGCGGGGAAAAAAGGAACUGUGUGAUGCGUUUGAAGAUAUGCAUGUUGAGGCACUUAGAAU